GGCGGGCGGAGGGGGAGGGGGAGCCCGCCAGCGCUCCCCCCCGUGGUGACAGUUUCUAGAAGCACGUCCCGGCGUCCUUUGCGCUCUCAACAUGGAGGAGCUGACGGUGGAAGUGCGCGGCUCUAACGGGGCCUUCUACAAGGGAUUUAUCAAAGAUGUUCAUGAGGACUCGCUCACAGUUGUAUUUGAAAACAAUUGGCAACCGGAGCGCCAGGUACCCUUUAAUGAAGUCAGAUUACCACCACCCCCUGAUAUCAAGAAAGAAAUUGGUGAAGGAGAUGAAGUGGAGGUUUAUUCUAGAGCCAAUGACCAAGAACCUUGUGGCUGGUGGCUGGCAAAAGUUCGAAUGAUGAAAGGAGAGUUUUAUGUCAUUGAAUAUGCUGCUUGUGAUGCCACUUACAAUGAAAUUGUCACUUAUGAACGACUGCGACCUGUGAAUCAAAAUAAAACUGUCAAAAAGAACACCUUUUUCAAGUGCACAGUGGACGUUCCUGAAGAUCUGAGAGAUGCGUGUGCUAAUGAAAAUGCACAUAAAGAUUUCAAAAAAGCUGUGGGAGCAUGUCGAAUUUUUUAUCAUGCUGAGACUGCUCAACUAAUAAUACUGUCUGCCAGCGAAGCAACAGUGAAGAGAGUGAACAUUCUGAGUGACAUGCAUUUGCGCAGCAUUCGCACCAAACUUAUGCUUAUGUCAAGAAACGAAGAAGCUACAAAACACUUAGAAUGCACAAAACAGCUUGCUGCAGCAUUUCAUGAGGAAUUUGUAGUCAGAGAAGAUUUAAUGGGACUUGCUAUAGGAACACAUGGCAGUAACAUACAACAAGCCAGAAAGGUUCCAGGAGUUACCGCCAUUGAACUUGAGGAGGAUACUGGUACUUUCAGAAUCUAUGGAGAGACUGCUGAUGCAGUAAAAAAGGCUAGAAGUUACUUGGAAUUUGUGGAGGAUUUUAUUCAAGUUCCCAGAAAUCUUGUUGGAAAAGUUAUUGGAAAAAAUGGAAAAGUGAUUCAGGAGAUUGUAGACAAGUCUGGAGUCGUCAGGGUGAGAAUUGAAGGAGAUAAUGAAAAUAAACUGCCCCGUGAAGAUGGAAUGGUACCGUUUGUAUUUGUUGGUACUAAAGAAAGCAUUGGAAAUGUCCAAGUUCUUUUAGAAUACCACAUCGCGUAUCUAAAGGAGGUAGAACAGCUAAGACUGGAAAGGCUCCAGAUUGAUGAGCAGUUGCGUCAGAUUGGUAUGGGUUUCAGGCCUUCGUCUGCUAGAGUUCCUGAAAAAGAGAAGGGUUAUACCACUGACGAGAGCACCCUCUCCUCAGUGCAAGGUUCCAGAUCCUACAGUGGAAGAGGGAGAGGUCGCAGAGGCCCCAAUUACACAUCUGGUUACGGUACAAACUCUGAGCUCUCUAAUCCCUCUGAAACAGAAUCUGAGAGAAAAGAUGAACUUAGUGACUGGUCCUUGGCAGGAGAAGAUGACAGAGAAAGCAGACACCAGCGUGACAAUAGGCGACGUCCUGGAGGACGAGGACGUAGUGUAUCUGGAGGUCGUGGGCGUGGUGGACCUCGUGGUGGCAAGUCAUCCAUUAGCUCUGUGCUUAAAGACCCGGACAGCAACCCUUACAGCUUGCUUGAUAACACAGAGUCAGACCAGACUGUGGAUACCGAUGCUAGUGAAUCUCACCACAGUAGUAACCGCCGCAGGAGGUCACGCCGGCGAAGGACCGAUGAAGAUGCUGUUCUUAUGGAUGGAAUGACAGAGUCUGAUACAGCUUCUGUUAAUGAGAAUGGUUUAGUUACGCUUCUGAUCCAGUUCUCGUUGAAGUCAAUAGCCAAGCUGCUGUUGAGUUCAGUGGUCCAGGAUCAAGACAAACACGAGGGUUCAUGAUCCGCGCUGCCCUGCACCCGUGCACUUGCACUGAAUGUGACACAACCUUUUCAGCACUGGCUGAGAAGCCCAGAGUUGGAAUGGCAGGAUGUGGGUGCCCCGGCAGCGCCCUGUGAGGGAGCUCACGCGGCACCUGCCAGCCCCAUGCCUGUGUCAGACUGCUGCUGUCAGUCCUCAGCUUUUGUGAAUAUUUGUAAGUCAUCUACAAAUUGAGGGUGGGAAGGAGGAGGAAUUGAAAUGAAAUUGCAUGUUUCCAAUUUUUUGUUGUUGUGGCUUGUUGCAUUUCUUUUGUGUGUACUAACACUUGAAAUGUUAAAGGUGAACUAUCUAAUUUUCAAUCUAAUGCCCUAUUUAGAAAAUGCUUGUAUGUACAUGGCAUAAGGUAGUAACAGAAGGUCUUCUAGAUUGACAGGUUCAAAAUUUCACUCGUACUUGUCUCCCUUAUUUGUGGUGCUCAUACAACAUUGGAUUAAGAAGAAAAAAGCUGUUGCAUUACGCUAAAAUUUGGGGGAAGAAAAAACCACUCACCCUCCUAAAAAAAGUAAAAAUGCUUAUCACCAUUUAAUUCAGAAACUAAUUUCAGCCAGCAGCACCAAGAGAUGUUAGGUAGGCUAUUUCUCUUUCAUUCUCAGAAUACUUAAAUUUACAACAAAACUGCCCAAACCCAAUUUCUUAUUUUUUGUCCUUUUGAUGUCUUCUGUGCAAGCUGCCAUUUUCAGUUUGCAUAAUAAAUAUGUUUAACUACAACAGUAAGAGCAUUGGUAGUUACACUUUGUGAAAAAUGCUCUAAGAAUUUAAUCUCUACAUAAAUACUUAACAUGAAUAAUGAACAAAACUAUGACAGAAGGAACUCCCCGCCUCCCCCCCAUGCUAACAGCAUACUUCAGUCAUUUAGUUGUAUUAUUUUAUUUACAUUGCUGUAUGUUUUGGGUUCCUACUACAUCUAUGACUAUUACGAAUUGGUGUCUUACACUGAGUGCGUAAAACAUACUUCAUCUUUUUGUGAGGAGUUGGAUACAGAACCUCCUCUUUAAAGAAUUAAUUCUCCUUGUGCAGAAACUCACUUGACUGUUGUGCAAGGACCCAGCUACUGUAACAGAAAAUUCAUACUUCGUGCUUCCUAUUGCAGAUGUAGCUUUCAUGCACAGUCAUUCCUAAAUCCAAAAAAAUAGUUCACCUGAAUGCAUGAUACACUAAAUGCAAUUGACUGUACUGUUCAGUAGAUAAUGCUUCCAAACUCUAAUGUGCUUUAGCUCAUCAAAGAUACAAGUGUCUAUUUAAAUUUGUAGUAUUACGUAUUCUAAAGAUAGAAUUGACUCUCAGUUGGUGUGGUUGCAAGAGAGUGGGAUAAGACAGAACCAGGCUCCAAGGACAGAUGCUGAGGUGGUCAGAAGAAGAGAGGUCAGAACCCCCCUGGCCAGCAUCCAGUAAGUGUAGCUGUAGCAGUGAAACAUGGCUGUCCCGCCGGGGAGCCCAGGCUCGCUCACACGGAGCCACUUCAAGUGUCUCUGCAGACACCACAAUUAAUCCACCCACCGCAAGGCAGAGUUAACCGUGCGGAUUGCUUUUUGAAUACCAGGAGGAGGUAACAGUAGCUGAUUAUAUAUCACGAGCUGAAUCUCAGAGUAGACAGAGAAACCCUCCAAAGGAGACACUAGCCAAAACCAAGAAAGAAACG